CCAUUUUCCUCCUCCCAAAUCAGGCCAGAUCCAGCGGUAACCACCGGAGGAGGCAAAGGUAACCGGCGCCACAACCGCAGCCAAAGAUGGGCGGCGAACAUUGGGAAGUGGAUCAACUGCCACCGUAGCUGAAGUUGCGCGGAGGAAGCUGAAGACGUUAGCCCGCGGGGGGGUUCGCUGCUCGUCGCCAGUGCAGGUAAGGUCCUACUCCUACCCAUGGCUUCCCUGGCAUAGGUCCCGCCUCGGAGCAGCUCGUAUUGCUCGUAUUUGUUCGGAGAGGGGGCGGUACUCAACAUGGAGAGGUCACGACGGCGGGGGACGAGUUUGCCGGGCAGCCCAUAGCGGUGGUUAACCGCGUUCACUUUACACAGUUACGGCCAUGGUGGCGUUGGUGUCAUGAGCAAAGCUCUCGUGCUGCUUUCGAACUAGGGAGGCAUGGGGAUUCAGCGAGGUUUGAGUUUCAACCAGAACGAGUAGAUAAUGGGAUAUCAUAGGUUGUCGUACAUCUCUUUUGCAUCUGGGUUCCUCCGUGUUUUUUAUUGAAAUUUUCUAGUAUAAGUUGUAAACGGAGCAAGAAUAGUUGGCUAGCUAGUUGUAAAAGUUGCACACGGAUGCCAACAUAGUUGGAUUACAGCAUGAAGGACGAUUAGGAGUGUGUUUUUCAAUUUCAUUUUCCAGUUGCACACGCUCAUACGUCAAUUGGUUGCAUCCCGCACACUCUAGAUCAUUUAGUUGGCAGGACAUUUUGUUCAUUUUUAUUUUGGGAGUUCCUAUUUAGUCAGGGGGAGCCGAGAGUGCGUGUUCUAGUGGGAUACGAGUUUCAUGGCGAGUCACCUCCGUAUCACGCAGAUUCGGCGAGGGAUUCCGGCGUGGUGCUCCCCGGCCAAAUUGUCUGAUCCCAGCAUGACGAUUUAUUGAUUUCUUUUUACAGUGAUUUGAGCUGAAAUAGAAGGAAGGAAGUACAUAAGAGUACUAAGAGGAUAGUUUAGAUGGUUUUGCUCAACCCUCUCAAAAUGCAUCUGUGUGGUUUCUCUGUUUUCUCUUAAGUUGUGUUCAUAUAAGUAACCAGUUGGCUAGUUUAUUGUAACAGUUGCACAGGGAUGCAAAUGUAGUUGGAUGACACAUAUACGUAUGUUAGUUGGCUAGCCAACUUAUGAAGUUGCACAAUAAGGGCUAACCAGUUGCACAUUCGAUGAUAUUCAGAUGGAUACACGGAUACACUGCGUAAACCAUGUUCAAGCAGUUUGUGUGUGUGGUUUCUUGGUUGCACAUCCAUGUGUGCCCUAUUUCCAAGGGUAUGCGUGAGGAGUUUUGUAGCGACCCGAUCCGAAUGGAUCAAGUCUCUGUGCUUAAGUGUCAUCCCUAGAUCGGUAUGCUGACACACACAGUACUCGAGGAUUUAUAACAGAGGUAAUUACAUGUAUAAAGUAACGAAAAUACUAUUACCUCAAUCCAUAUAGCGGAAGUAACAAUAAGGUUGUGUAUUCCCAUCAACACCAAUGGCAAAGUUGAGUGUAGACAUCGUAACCCUAACAUAUCACUUACUCGUCGUAAGAAUCCAUGAGAGCAUCUCCAGCCGCCCCCCAGGAAGCCCUCCCAAGCACGUUUUUGCGCGCCGGUGGAUAAAAAUCUUCCCACUCGUGCCCCCAAAGUCUCCUUUUUUGCCGGAUGAAGCAAAAAUCGGCGCCGGCAGCCCCAACCCAAACCCAGGAACCCGGGGGGCACCUGGGGGGCUAAUUUUGCCUUUUGCAGGCGCGCCCCCACAUGCAGUGACAUAUCUCCUCCCCCCCACCUUUUCGUCUCUCUCUCCCCACCUUUUCGUCUCUCUCUCCCCACCCUUUCCUCCUCCCGUCGCGCGCGUGCCUCCUCUCCAGCUCGCCCCGUCGGCCGCCGCGGCGCCUCCAGUCCUCGUCGACGCCGCACAGACGACAUCCCCGGCCACUGGCGUCGAGGGAGGAAGCGGUCGCCCGGCCACGCCCAAGAUCUCCUCCACCUCCUCCCGCAAGAAGCCGGAACCAGCGCCGUCGUAGAACGUCGUCCUUGUCCCGUCGGCGGCGCGGCCACGGGCGCGAGCGGGCGGCGUGGCCACGGGCACGAGCAGCGGCGUCCAUAGUGGGCGGGGGCAGCAGCGGCCAGCGGAGGCGGCGAGGACGUGCUGCUGGAAGGACGGGGCGGCUUGGGGGUGGACACGGCUGGGAAGAUUUUCAUCCCCAGGCCAAAAUCUUCGCCGGUAGCCCCCCAGGCGGCGAAAAAAUGCCUCCUAGGGGGCUCAACGGCAGAAGAUGCUCUGAGACAUUGCAGCCAUGUAGGUCAGUACAUUGAAUGUACUGGCAAUUUCACACUGUAGAGCAAUGCUGAGUAAAUGGCUAUCACUACAUGCAUAUUUGGUUGGUGGAGGCUCUAAGUUUAAUAUUUGCAUAAAACUAAUUUUUCCCUACAACAAAGAAAUAGAUUUUAUCUAACUACCAAGUUAAAUUGCCCAUAUAGAGAAGGUAAACCCAACUCAAUCCCAAAAUCACCAAAUCAUUAAUAACCCAACAAUCUCUUUAAAUAGAGUGAUGAGAUCAAUCAAAUUAAUAAGUAUCAGAUACUGAAGAUGUCCAUAACCGGGGACACGGCUAAUCAUGAUUAGUUUGUACACUCUGCAGAGAUUUGCGCACUUUUCCCCACAACUCGAUCUCCUCCGUUGUAUUUCUUACACUGCAUGAUGUUUGAGAAACGGAUGACCGAGACACAGUCUUUCCGAAGAGGUCCCCUUAACCGAUAGAUAGGCCGGUACACCUACAAUCCCCUACAUCUGCUAGCCCAUCAUGAAAAGGAUUCCCACAACUUACUCAACUAUGCCAGAGCACACGGAAGUUUACAGCAUGAAUAAUCUUUCGAUCCCUUUGAGCCUGGGUGGCAUUCCAAUAGGAUGAUCACACGGAUACCCGGGAUCUCCUAGGAACACUGGUAUAUCCCCAGGUGCCCGGGCAAGCCACUGGUAUAUCCCCAGGGUGCACCAACCAUUUUCACCCAGAUGUGUAUUAAAGUAGCCACCUUAAAGUUCCCUUAGUUAAAUGUAACUCUCACAUCUUUCAUGAAUCUCACAUACCAAUCCAUGUCUACGAGCAUAGCAAAGCAAUAUAAGCAUAACGUAUAAUACCCGGGGUUUGAUAAAAGACAAUAAGCUCCUACCUCAACAACUACUUCCCACGCCCACAUGUUACCAAAUCCUACUCAUGCAAUGUUUGAGGGUUGAAACUAAUGUAUAAAAAAACUGGGUAUGAAAAAUAUGAUCAAAGUGUGAACUUGCCUUGUACCGUUGAUGAAGAUUCGUCGCACUCAUAACUCGUGAUAGAUCUACUCGUCACACUCCGAUCAAUCUAUUGUAAGUAAGCAAUUGCAUACAUAAGCACUCAUGCAAAAGAAUCAAAGAAAAGAUCUCAAAAAACUUUGAAAACAAGCAAUUAACUCUUGCAACAGAAAACAAUUUCUAACAGUAUCAAAAUUGGGUGUAUUUGGUCUUAUCAGAAAGUUUAGGUCAAGAGCUUCAAUAGCAAAAAGAAUCAACUAAAUCGGAAUUAUAAAACUCAAGUUAUGAUCAAUAGAAGUUUAAAUUCAAAUCUGUUUGAAACCAAGUUUUAAACUGUCAAAAACAUGUUUAAGUUGGUUAUCUGGGUAGAGGGGAUCAUAACGAAGAAGUGGGCGUUGUUUUCGUUGGAUUUGGAUAAACGAGCAAAAAGUUAUGAGGGUUUAAAAAUCAGGGACUAAUCCGUGAUGAAAACAUUUAUGAAUAGGUCCCUGGCUGAAAAUUAACAGAAAAAGAAAAAUCUACGAACGAACAUUCGCUACAGAAACCUAACGAAUGAAAAUCGUUCGCUACCGAAACUAACGGAUGAACGUCCGCUAAAUAAACUAACUAAAAUAAUAAACCGAUCUAAAAGAAAAACCGAAAAAAACCGGAUAGGGGAUCAGUUCUAUACCGGUCGGUGGUUCGACGGUUUUGGCGAGAAAACCGGUGGCGGCGGUUAGCGGAUAGGCGACGACGAUGGAUCGGGAUUCCGGCGAGAUGGGGCGGCGGCGACGACGACUCCGGCGAGGCGGGACGGCGGCUAGGCGCGGCGCGGAAGACGGCGACGACUAGCGGCGCGGCGGCGGGAGCUGCGCGUGGUUGCGGCGGCAGCGAGAAGUGGUGGCAGCGGUGACGAGAUGCGGCGCGGCGACGUAAAGCGGCAGCGAGCGGCGCAGACGGGGUCCAAGAGGGGCCCCCGGUGCAGCGUAUAAAGGGGGGCUCGGCCUCGGGAGGCGGAGUCCCGGGCGUCGGCGGCUCCUCCCGUGUCCUGGCUGGACUCGGGGAAGGCGACGUCGGCGCGCCUGGGACAUUUACUCAGGACCCAGGCGGAGUCCCGCGCGGCGUCGACUCCUCCCGUGUCGUAAGAAUCCUGCAACAUGAGACAUUGCAGCCAUGUAGGUCAGUACAUUGAAUGUACUGGCAAUUUCACACUGUAGAGCAAUGCUGAGUAAAUGGCUAUCACUACAUGCAUAUUUGGCUGAUGGAGGCUCUUAGUUUAAUAUUUGCAUAAAGCCAAUUUUUUCUACAAUAAAGGAAUAGAUUUUAUUUAACUACCAAGUUAAAUUACCCAUAUUGAGAAGAUAACCCCAACUCAAUCCCAAAAUUACCAAAUCAUUAAUAACCCAACAAUUUCAUUAAAUAGAGUGAGGAGAUCAAUCAAAUAAUUCAAGUACCAGAUACUCAAGAUGUCCAUAACCGGGGACACGACUAAUCAUGAUUAGUUUGUACACUUUGUAAAGGUUUGCGCCCUUUUCCCCACAAGACUCGAUCUCGUCCGUUGUAUUUCUCGCACUGCAUGAUGUUUGAGAAACGGAUGACCGAGACACAGUCUUUCCGAAGAGGUCCACUUAACCGAUAGAUAGGCCGGUACACCUACAAUCCCCUACAUCUCCUAGCCCAUCAUGAAAAAGGAUUUCCACAAUUUACUCAACUAUGCCAGAGCCCAUAAUGGCUUGUGGCUGCACACGGAAGUUUCUAGCAUGAAUAAUCUUAUGAUCCCUUUGAGCCUGGGUGGCAUUCCAAUAGGAUAAUCACACAGAUACCUCGGGAUCUCCUAGGACAACAUUGGUAUAUCCCCAGGUUCCCGGGCAAGCCACUGGUAUAUCCCCAGGGUGCCCCAACCAUUCCACCCAUAUGUGUAUUAAAGUAGCCACCUUAAAGUUUCCUUAGUUAAAUAUAACUCACAUCUUUCAUGAAUCUUGAUACGUCUCCAACGUAUCUAUAAUUUUUGAUUGUUUCAUGCUAUUAUAUUAUCUAUUUUGGAUGUUUAAUGGGAUUUAUUAUACACUUUUAUAUUAUUUUUGGGACUAACCUAUUAACCGAAGGCCUAGUGCAAAUUGCUUUUUUUUUUGCCUAUUUCAGUGUUUCGUAGAAAAGAAAUAUCAAACGGAAUGAAACCUUCGGGAAAGUGAUUUUUGGAACAAACGUGAUCCAGAGGACUUGGAGUGGACGUCAAGAAAGAAUCGAGGAGGCCCCUCGCAGCUCCACCGACCUACUUCCUCCUAUAUAUACCCAUAUACCCCGAAAACAUCCAGGAGCACCACGAAACCCUAUUUCCACCACCACAACCUUCUGUACCAGUGAGAUCCCAUCUUGGGGCUUUUUCCGGCGCUCCGCUGAAGGGGGAAUCGAUCACGGAGGGCUUCUACAUCAAUACCAUAGCCUCUUCGAUGAUGUGUGAGUAGUUUACCACAGACCUUCGGGUCCAUAGUUAUUAGCUAGAUAGCUUCUUGUCUCUCUUUGGAUCUCAAUAGAAAGUUUUCCUCGAUCUUCUUGGAGAUCUAUUCGAUGUAAUUCUUUUUUGCGCUGUGUUUGUUGAGAUCCGAUGAAUUGUGGGUUUAUGAUCAAGAUUAUCUAUGAACAAUAUUUGAAUCUCCUCUGAAUUCUUUUACGUAUGAUUUGUUAUAUUUGCAAGUCUCUUCGAAUUAUCAGUUUGGUUUGGCCUACUAGAUUGAUCUUUUUUGCAAUGGGAGAAGUGCUUAGCUUUGGUUCAAUUGUGACGCCCGGAUAAUUACGCUACAGUAAUUCUCUGCUAAUGGUGCCACGUCACCACGGUUAUUGUUGCUAAUCUCGCGUUAGUUCGAAACCGAUUCAAAUUUAAAAUCAAAUCAAAUAAUAAAAGUUUUUAAAUUUUAAAACUAAAAUGUUCGGAGUCAACCAAAUAUUGCAUAGGUAAUUAUGAUGGAGAAAUCACACCUUUAUAAAAUAUUUAAAUACUAUAAGAUGAAUAAAACAGCAGUAAAAACAAUUAUUUAAAAGCUUUUAUAAUAA
rnacentral:lncRNA from 1 species